AGUUGUCUUUUUUUUUUUUUUUUUUAAGAUUUUACCACCGGAAGUUAGCUACACCAAGUUUCAGUCCAAACAGAUGGGAAGUUGGAGAUUUUAGGAGGCAGCCGGAGAAGUCACCACAGAAGCCACAGACAUCGCAGCCACUCCAAAACUCCAGAGAGGAGCUCAAGAAAGAGUCACAAGAAGAGCCGAAGAGGAAACGACUGAUCUCAUUGUGGCAUUUUUUACUUUAUUUUUUAUUUUACCUCCUAAACUGUUGAAGAUCUGGCCCCUAAACCCUCAAACCACAACCUGAACCUUUUCAGAAGCUUGUCGUCGUUGCUGAUGAACUCUGGACGAGUGUAAAUAGAGAAAAUGUGUUUCUUUGUGAACCGAUUGUUAAACUCUGAAAUAAAACCUCUGAUUUUA